UACGUAUGGAGCAAGCGUUAUCCGGAUUUACUGGGUGUAAAGGGAGUGUAGGUGGCAUCACAAGUCAGAAGUGAAAACCCGUGGCUCAACCGCGGGACUGCUUUUGAAACUGUGGGGCUGGAGUGCAGGAGAGGCAAGUGGAAUUCCUAGUGUAGCGGUGAAAUGCGUAGAUAUUAGGAGGAACACCAGUGGCGAAGGCGGCUUGCUGGACUGUAACUGACACUGAGGCUCGAAAGCGUGGGGAGCAAACAGG
rnacentral:rRNA from 1 species